CAGAAGAGAACUGGGCGAAGCUAACCCAGGAACCGAUCCUCAGAGGUGAGGACAGAUGGGCACUUCGGAAUGCAGUCAUACACUGUCCUUGCCCUGGCCACCCAUGAACGUCAAUCCGGGACUCCAGGAAGAGAGAGGGAUCUAUGUUCUCCUGGACAACUGAGAUCAUGAAUUCCGUUGCAACUGUCUUAUCACCAACAUCACCAAGCAUGCUACUUUAGGGGUAUUCCAAAGAGCUGCAAAAUCACUCAAGAGACACAGGUGGGUCUAGAAAUAAAGAUACUGUCAAUGACAUCACUAGUUAUGAAGAACACAGUGCCUAUGAAUUUUCACUUCUGUUUUAAAC
rnacentral:lncRNA from 10 species